AGUCGAAACGGCGGGAUAGGCUCCCCGCCGUCUGCCGGAAUUUUGCCGCCGGCACUGAUGAGACAGCAAGGA
rnacentral:hammerhead_ribozyme from 1 species